UCUAGUGUCUGGAGGUCAGUCCUUGAUUAUGAUGAAUCAUUCAUACAAUGAGGUCAGAGUGACCUUGGCAUAUAAUAUGCCAAUAUCACAUCGUGCAACAAGAAAUGUUCGUAGACAAAGUGAAUAACUCAUUUACAUUCAUAAAAAGUUGAUUAGUUUGGUUCUUCCUUUUGAUUCUUUUGGCUUGUCUACUAUGCUGGGCCUUUCAAUCAGACGAGGAGGCAACUCCUGUUGUACAAAAGCUGGGUCCUUUUCUACCUAGUUAGUAAUUUAGUAUCACCCACUUGAAAAGGAGAUUUGCAUGAAAAAAGGAACUGUUUGGACUAAAAGAUGCUUCUGAUGGGAUUUGUUUUACUAAAAGUCCUGCAACACCCAACAGAAAAGGCCUAAGAUUGACAUCUUUAUCGUUUUGCUG
rnacentral:lncRNA from 1 species